rfam:Myotis lucifugus cont2.13717, whole genome shotgun sequence.
GGUGGUUCUUGGGUGAUGCACCCCGGAAUCAGGCUCCCUUCUCUCUGGUUCCAGGUGCAUCACCACAGAACUGCA